AUGCCAACGGACCAGAAGAACCAGAGGAACCAUCAGAACGCUGCCAGAACGGUGGCUCCUGGUGGAGAAGCAUCAUCUGUCGUCAUCUGGAUCAGCACUGGAACAAACCCAUCAGAAGAGGAACCUUUUCAUCACUUCUUCCAGGUGAAGUGCUGCCCCCUGCUGGUUGCCUCCGCCAGCAGCGGCUCAGGCCGCGCAGGCGUGGGCUGCGUUCAGGCCGAGCAUCUUGGAUCCUCUGUGACAGCAGCUCCACAUGCAGGAUAAUCAGCCGCCGCCGCCACUUCCUGUUUCUGAGCGUCUUCUUCUGCUGACUUUGCUCUCGUCUCUGAUCACCUCGCUGCAGAGGCUCCUGCCAGUAAUCACCCACUCGUGGCUUUCACCUGUCCUGCCCCACUUAACCUGCCUGAUUUCAGGCUGUUGCUGCUGCUCGCUCCCGCUCCCCAGCGGUUUAACCUCCUUUCUGUGCCUGAGCCAGUAAUAACCUCUGGAUCGUUAUUAUUUAUUUAUUACUUAUUUGCACACAAUCCAACACACCCUUUAACCUUUUAAACACAACCUUUUGAAACUUCUUUGGGUCCAAGCUUGACUCAAAGCUCAAACAGGAACCCAUGAAAUGCCUUUUAAAGUGAAACAUGUUCUCACAGUGUGAUCAGUUCUACAAUGAAACCCUUGACUCACUUUAACUCUGACGGAACGAUUGGAAACCAGCGCCUGUUCUCCAGCUCAGACCUGUAGAUGGUUUGAACCGCGAGUCACGGGUGCGACAGUUACUCUCUGCGUAUGUUUCUCACUUAUGAUCAGCUGACUCGACGUGAGCUUUGACCUCAAAGCAGCGGCAGAGAGAGAGAGAGAGCUUCACUGUGUUAAACCCAAAUUCUACUUGUUAUAAUUCAUUAUUAUUUCAAUGACAGGGGUCCUGCUUUGAAGGUGACUUCAUUACAUUACAGGUUAUUGCCUCAUAUAUCAAACUUGUGUGGUCCCAAUUUUGAGACAGCAGAAGUGUCUGACUGACUGUGAAAUUGACUGCUCUCCAUCACAGAGUAAUUAGAUUAUGUAUGAAUCAGUGUGAGCUGCUCAGAGACGACCACUCGGUGCAGCAGGUACAGUAUGUGUGAGCGAGGAGGCUCCACUGGCUCCUCGGGAACCCUCCUGGCCUCACAUGAUGCGUUCAGAGGCCUGGUAGAUUUCCACAGGUGCUCUGAGCAUCACAGUGGCACAAAUAAAACAUGGACACAGCACGUGCA
rnacentral:lncRNA from 1 species